UACGGAGGUGCGAGCGUUGUCCGGAAUCAUUGGGCGUAAAGCGCACGUAGGCGGCUUUCUAAGUCGGGGUGAAAUCCUGGAGCUCAACUCCAGAACUGCCUUCGAUACUGGAAAGCUCGAGUCCGGGAGAGGUGAGUGGAACUGCGAGUGUAGAGGUGAAAUUCGUAGAUAUUCGCAAGAACACCAGUGGCGAAGGCGGCUCACUGGCCCGGUACUGACGCUGAGGUGCGAAGCGUGGGAGCAACAGG
rnacentral:rRNA from 1 species